UGUGGAGCCUGCUUUGGACUCUUGGAGCUCAUUAUGAAUCUUGCUGAGCUCUCUGUGUUUCCUGUAGGUGGUUCAUCUCGACAAGGAUGAAGAAAUGCAGAAGCUUCCACUUCAGCCUCCUUAUUACGACAUGGCGCCCUCUGAGUCGACCCCCUUCACUGAUAAACUGGACUCUGGGAGGCGUCCAGAAGAGCUGUUGAACCCGGCUGAAUACAUGAGCUACCAGCGUGUCUGCAACAUGGAACCCUUCCCUGAGUCUCAGUCCGCUCCGGCCUGUCCUCCUGUUACUUUCUUGCCUCAGCACCCCUAUGCGCAGCAACCACCCAACGAGCCCACGUACUCCAACACGAGCUUCCCCGCACCCGGCCCUCGAGCUCCGUUCACGUUCCCCAAGGAGCAAUCCGUGUGACAUGUCAAGUAACUCUUGGCUCUGCAAGAGGCAACAUGAUAGUGCCACAAACGCUUCAUGGAAAACAAAGCUCUGCUGAACGGAUGUGCAUCCAUUCCCACCUUGCUUCUGUUUGUUCUAUAGGCUUAAAAUAGAGGCCCCCUCUCCCCCUCCCCUCCCCCUCCCUCCCCCACUGAGCCAUGAUGAAAAGAACUUGUGACCCUGAAUCCCCUGUGUAUUGUGCACUGCUUGCUCCACUGAGGCUGUCUGUAGGACCCCGCUCACCUUGUGAUAUUAGCGUAGCCGACACAACUACCCUCGUCCACCACCCCUCACCCCUCACGAGUGCCCACUUAUCCAGUCUGUCUUUUGAUUGCUUCCUCCCCUUUUGAAUAUUUUUGCAUUUUUGCCAACCGUCUAAACCGUGUACAGGAUAUGCCAUUGUGUCACUCAAGAUGUUAAUUUUUUUCUUCUUUUAUUAUUAUUUUUUUUUUUACAUUUCCCACAGUGGUAGUGACCUUUUCUAGCAAUGUGCUUCUUUUGUUUGUUUUCUCUUUGUCUGUCAAUCAUAUGCUUGCUUCGUUGAAAGUGAUAUACUGUACUGUAUGUGUGUUUGGGUGUAUUCUGGUAAAAAAGAAAUUAAUGCAAUUUGAUUUGUAAAGCUAAUUAUCAAUCUAUAAUGACAUGGACUACCCCUUUAAUGACAGUUAGCGUCAGGGUUAUUACGUGAAGAUGUGAAUUGGCAGUCUCUAAACUGAAUCCUUCAUUACUUUUCAUAAUGGCUUCGCUGUUAGGGAGUUUGACUGGAUAUUUCGGAAUAUUAGAAGCAAAUCCUCAUUAGCUACAAAAAAAACUAAACAAAAGGCUUGAGAUCCAACAGUAUCUACUUUUUUCUAUUUCUCCAUGUUUUAUUAUCCAUCCUUCCAGGAUAUUAUUAUUGUUAUUAUUAUUAUUAUGAAUAUUAUUAUUUUAUGAAUAUUAUUAUCUGACAGUAGUUGCCAAAGACAUAUAGUUUCAUUUAGGUUUUUUGUCCAUUUGCUUUCAUGCCAGAGUUUACAUUAAAACUAGCUUGUUUGAUGGGAAAUAAUUGAUUGGCAAUGUGCUACACUUUCCCAGUUUACAUCAUCACUUGCCAUAUGCUGUAUUUUCCAUAUCUGUAUGUGAAAACUUGAGUUGCUCAUGGAGGUUGGUCUGAGGUCCAUUGCAUUGUGGGUCCUUUGUGUUUGUGCGGAGUUAUCAACCUACAGGAGUCGUUCUUUAUGCAGGUGCAAUAGGUGAAGACAAUCACAUACUUGGGUUGUCCUGGAAAAAAGAAACGGUACAAAUAGUUCUACUCAUACCGAAAGGGAACACUUUUUCAAGGACAGCCCACAUGUUUAACAUAUUUAAAUAUCUUUUUGAAUUUGAUUUGUACUAAUAUAGCCUAAAGAGUUUCAAAUCAGUCUAAGAAACACUGAAGAGAAAAGCUUGCUACUGUAUUUUUUUAUAGAAUGCUUAGUUAUAUACGAUAGCACUGAGUCCAUUUUACACUGUGACUGUUCAUUUCAAACCAUACAUAAGCUAAUGUGCUUGAUGAGCCAAUUUCAGGAUACUGCCUCAUACACACGGGCCCUCUAGACACAGCAGAUUUGCAUAAACAAAGUUCACAUUUUUUGCCAUGUCAGAUGUAUGUUUAGAAAAAAAAAUAAAGAAAAGAAAAUACUUGUGUUUGUGCUCAAUGUGGAAAAAAUAAUCCUUGAGUUGUUGAAGGUAAUUUAGUGUUUACUCAUAUGGUGGUUAAUUGGAUAGAGUAAAACUUGUGAGACUUUCUUCUGUGCUCACCUUGUUGUCUUGCAAUGGCUCGAUAUGUGUGCUAGCAUUUAGUUUAAGCAGCGGCCUCUGGUUCAAACCGCUGAAGGAGUUUGAUAUUGCUGUACCUGCUGUGUGAAAAAACACUGAAACACUACUUUGUCUUUUUGUGACACAUUUACUAUUCACAAAAUCCUUCCUUUUCAUUAUAAGUAUUAUUAUUAUAUUAUGUGUAAAUGCUACUACUUGGUGCAAAGUAUGUUUAAAUGGCAUUUACAUGUAUUCAUUUUCACUGUCAAAUCCUUGUUUUCAGUCACAUUUGAUUAUUUUGAAUGUCCUGAAGAUAAUUGCCAUGUUUGUUUUCACCCUCGUUGUUUUGUGUUUUGUAAGACUGUAACAUUUAGUUUUUAUUUUUUUAAACAUAUAUAUAGACCUACAGCACAUUUCUUUAUUAUUAUUAUUGUACAUUUGUGGAAGGAUGAAACCUGAAUAAGUAUUAGGGUUAUGAGCUAUUCUUGUUGCUAAAUAAUGAAACGAUGUGAAACAAUUUAACCUGUUUUUUUUUUUUAUUUGAGUUAUGUUUGAUGUAAAUAUUAACAAUGUAUCUGAUGUGUGAAAAAACAAACAAGUCAUGCAGUUUAACAUUAAACUUCACAAACUACCC
ensembl:lncRNA